rnacentral:rRNA from 1 species
UACGUAGGGUGCGAGCGUUGUCCGGAAUUACUGGGCGUAAAGAUCUCGUAGGUGGUUUGUCGCGUUGUUCGUGAAAACUCACAGCUCAACUGUGGGCGUGCGGGCGAUACGGGCAGACUAGAGUACUGCAGGGGAGACUGGAAUUCCUGGUGUAGCGGUGGAAUGCGCAGAUAUCAGGAGGAACACCGGUGGCGAAGGCGGGUCUCUGGGCAGUUACUGACACUGAGGCGCGACAGCGUGGGGAGCAAACAGG